UUGAACGCUGGCGGCAUGCCUUACACAUGCAAGUCGAACGGCAGCACGGGUGCUUGCACCUGGUGGCGAGUGGCGAACGGGUGAGUAAUACAUCGGAACAUGUCCUGUAGUGGGGGAUAGCCCGGCGAAAGCCGGAUUAAUACCGCAUACGAUCUACGGAUGAAAGCGGGGGACCUUCGGGCCUCGCGCUAUAGGGUUGGCCGAUGGCUGAUUAGCUAGUUGGUGGGGUAAAGGCCUACCAAGGCGACGAUCAGUAGCUGGUCUGAGAGGACGACCAGCCACACUGGGACUGAGACACGGCCCAGACUCCUACGGGAGGCAGCAGUGGGGAAUUUUGGACAAUGGGCGAAAGCCUGAUCCAGCAAUGCCGCGUGUGUGAAGAAGGCCUUCGGGUUGUAAAGCACUUUUGUCCGGAAAGAAAUCCUUGGCUCUAAUACAGUCGGGGGAUGACGGUACCGGAAGAAUAAGCACCGGCUAACUACGUGCCAGCAGCCGCGGUAAUACGUAGGGUGCGAGCGUUAAUCGGAAUUACUGGGCGUAAAGCGUGCGCAGGCGGUUUGCUAAGACCGAUGUGAAAUCCCCGGGCUCAACCUGGGAACUGCAUUGGUGACUGGCAGGCUAGAGUAUGGCAGAGGGGGGGUAGAAUUCCACGUGUAGCAGUGAAAUGCGUAGAGAUGUGGAGGAAUACCGAUGGCGAAAGGCAGCCCCCUGGGCCAAUACUGACGCUCAUGCACGAAAGCGUGGGGGAGCAAACAGGAUUAGAUACCCUGGUAGUCCACGCCCUAAACGAUGUCAACUAGUUGUUGGGGAUUCAUUUCCUUAGUAACGUAGCUAACGCGUGAAGUUGACCGCCUGGGGAGUACGGUCGCAAGAUUAAAACUCAAAGGAAUUGACGGGGACCCGCACAAGCGGUGGAUGAUGUGGAUUAAUUCGAUGCAACGCGAAAAACCUUACCUACCCUUGACAUGGUCGGAAUCCUGCUGAGAGGUGGGAGUGCUCGAAAGAGAACCGGCGCACAGGUGCUGCAUGGCUGUCGUCAGCUCGUGUCGUGAGAUGUUGGGUUAAGUCCCGCAACGAGCGCAACCCUUGUCCUUAGUUGCUACGCAAGAGCACUCUAAGGAGACUGCCGGUGACAAACCGGAGGAAGGUGGGGAUGACGUCAAGUCCUCAUGGCCCUUAUGGGUAGGGCUUCACACGUCAUACAAUGGUCGGAACAGAGGGUUGCCAACCCGCGAGGGGGAGCUAAUCCCAGAAAACCGAUCGUAGUCCGGAUUGCACUCUGCAACUCGAGUGCAUGAAGCUGGAAUCGCUAGUAAUCGCGGAUCAGCAUGCCGCGGUGAAUACGUUCCCGGGUCUUGUACUCACCGC
rnacentral:rRNA from 1 species